rnacentral:RNase_P_RNA from 1 species
GAAGCUGGCCAGACAGUCGCUGCCCGUGUGAGCGGGGAGAGGAAAGUCCGGGCUCCGCAGAGCAGGAUGACGGCUAACGGCCGUACGCCGUGAGGUGAGGAACAGGGCCACAGAGACGAGCGUAUUAAGUUACGGUGAAACGCGGCAACCUCCAUCCGGAGCAAGACCAAAUAGGGGAACGAUGGCGUGGCUCGCGCCGUUCCCGGGUAGGUCGCUUGAGCGUCAGGUAACGAAACGCCUAGAGGAAUGACUGUCCACGACAGAACCCGGCUUACCGGCCAGCUUCUCUU